rnacentral:rRNA from 1 species
CCUACGGGAGGCAGCAGUGAGGAAUAUUGGUCAAUGGGCGAGAGCCUGAACCAGCCAAGUCGCGUGAGGGAAGACGGUCCUACGGAUUGUAAACCUCUUUUGUCAGGGAGCACGGAGCGCCACGAGUGCUGCGGCGAGUGUACCUGACGAACAAGCAUCGGCUAACUCCGUUCCCGCAGCCGCGGUAAUACGGUGGAUGCGAGCGUUAUCCGGAUUUAUUGGGUUUAAAGGGAGCGCAGGCGGAAGCGGAAAGUCAGCGGGAAAAUUGCGGGGCUCAACCUCGCCGAGCCGUUGAAACUGCUAUUCUAGAGUGGGCGAGAAGUAUGCGGAAUGCGUGGUGUAGCGGUGAAAUGCAUAGAUAUCACGCAGAACUUCGAUUGCGAAGGCAGCAUACCGGCGCACAACUGACGCUCAUGCACGAAAGCGUGGGUAUCGAACAGGAUUAGAUACCCUUGUAGUC